AUUGAACGCUGGCGGCAUGCCUUACACAUGCAAGUCGAACGGCAGCACGGGUGCUUGCACCUGGUGGCGAGUGGCGAACGGGUGAGUAAUACAUCGGAACGUACCUUAUCGUGGGGGAUAACGCAGCGAAAGCUGUGCUAAUACCGCAUACGCCCUGAGGGGGAAAGCGGGGGAUCGCAAGACCUCGCGCGAUUAGAGCGGCCGAUGCCUGAUUAGCUUGUUGGUGGGGUAAAAGCCCACCAAGGCGACGAUCAGUAGCUGGUCUGAGAGGAAGAUGAGACACACGGGGAGUGAGACGGGGCACAGACUCCUACGGGGGGGAGCAGUGGGGAAUUUUGGAAAAUGGGGGCAACCCUGAUCGAGCAGUGCCGCGUGAGUGAAGAAGGCCUUCGGGUUGUAAAACUCUUUGGUCAGGGAAGAAAAACCGGCUCUAACACAGUCCGGGAAUGACGGUACCUGAAGAAUAAGCACCGGCUAACUACGUGCCAGCAGCCGCCGUAA
rnacentral:rRNA from 1 species